GCCCAGGGGUGGAAAUCGAACCCACAGUGUUCCGCUUACCGGGCAGAUGCCAUGUCCACUAGGCUACCCUGGG
rnacentral:tRNA from 1 species